GUGGGGGAUAUUGCACAAUGGGGGAAACCCUGAUGCAGCAACGCCGCGUGAGGGAAGAAGGUUUUCGGAUUGUAAACCUCUGUCCUUGGUGAAGAUAAUGACGGUAGCCAAGGAGGAAGCUCCGGCUAACUACGUGCCAGCAGCCGCGGUAAUACGUAGGGAGCGAGCGUUGUCCGGAUUUACUGGGUGUAAAGGGUGCGUAGGCGGCUAUGCAAGUCAGGUGUGAAAACUAUGGGCUUAACCCAUAGACUGCACUUGAAACUGUGUAGCUUGAGUGAAGUAGAGGUAGGCGGAAUUCCCGGUGUAGCGGUGAAAUGCGUAGAGAUCGGGAGGAACACCAGUGGCGAAGGCGGCCUACUGGGCUUUAACUGACGCUGAAGCACGAAAGCGUGGGUAGCAAACAGGAUUAGAAACCCGAGUAGUCC
rnacentral:rRNA from 1 species